UAUAACAAUAGAUCGAUACUUGGCGUCUGUGUAUCGAUACAGUAUUGCCACAGAAAAUAUCGCGAUACUAUGCUGUAUCGACUUUUUCCCCCACCCCUAUUCGACAUCAUUUUGGACCCAUAGAAUCACCUGCUAGAGCAGAUAAUAAAUAAAUAACACUCAAAAAGCUUCAAGACAAAGCUCGCUAAAGAAGUCCAACCAGUCAUUAGAUCUGAGAAAAGUCUUUUAGUUAGUUUGAUGCUUUUUUUUUCAAUGUUUUUGGCGCUUUUUUUUGCCGCAUUUCACAUUCACUCGGCUUAAAAAAAAACGGCUCAGGUGCUGCAGCUAAGACUUAAUAAUAAUGGUAGGGAAAACCCUGAGUGUGGGUGAUCUCAUUUGUAUAAUCUGUACAAAAAAAAUGAUGUUAUGGCAUGGUUAUGUGCCAGACUAUUUCUUCGCGGGGUGCAAAAGACUUCCUCGUAAGUCUCGUAAGCAUAUUUCCCAAACUGUCAAAAUGAUUCCAGUAACAACAAAAACACUUAACCAGCACAGCACAGUACACCAGCUUUCAGUUAUGAACCUAAAUAUUGAUUCAUACGAACGUGUUUGUGUGUAUAUGUCUAUUAAUCGUCUGCAGUAUUGACAUUGAGCAGUAUUUCUUUUAAAACGAACCAGAGGUGAGACUUUGAUUUUUUGUUUCCUUUUUUUCUCUGUAAUUUGGUCCAAUAUUUUUUGCAUAGACUUUCAUUGUGUGAUAUAAAAAUGUACAACGCCAAAAAAAAGGUAUAUAAAAGGAAAUAAAGUUUGCCCAGCAGCUGGUCCAGGUGAUAAGCGUCGCCGUGUCAACAAGACAUCCCUUGCUCGGAUGAAUGACCUCUUAAAAAGGACCAAAAAAAAACCCAUACUGCAUAUGUAACUCCUCACCACUUUAUUUUCGUUGGAGAGCUAUUUGAAAUGGAAGCUAGGACAUGAGUUGUACUAAUCAUUGACUAUGUGACCAUUAGACAGUGAAAUCCGGUUAAUCGUUAACUCUGCCCCCAGUUCAUUAACCUUUGAUGAAAUGAAAGGUGUUUGUUUUAUGUUUUCAUAUUGUAUUUAUUUUUGCCGUUUUUGUGGAGAAUGUCAUGCUGUAAUUGACGGGCGUUUGCCUGAAGCCUCGAUUUCAUUUGCUGAAGACCAAAAAAAAUUUACCAGAAAAAUGAAAAUGGCUGAAAGUGUGUUAAUGCUGUUUUUAACUUGCUGUCAUCCGUCUCCCUGAAGCCUCCACGUAGUGUCCAUGAACCAUCUGAACAUGUUAGGAAGUCACUCAGUGUUCCACAGCGAUCGACUGCUUUUGGAAAAACUCAGAGACCUUUUUUUGAAAAACUAGUGCACCGACACUGGCUUUUUUUCCUGCGGGUCGAUGGUUUUUCCUCUGCAGACCUGUGACACUCUCUACCUCAGAUGUUGUACAUGUGUCCCUGUUCCCCCAUCAGAGCAGGGUGACUCGAGAAACGCAAAUACACUGCAAAGUGUUAGGAAAGCAUCCUAACUGUCGAAAGCUUUGCUCUGUACUGAAGCGCUCGCUGCUCACAACCAGAAAUGCCUUCUUUUUUUCUUUUUCUUUUAAGCAUGAGAAACUUCAACAGCGUUUACAUCUUUUAUCCCCCCCUAAAUGUAUAUUUUUAUUACGAUUAAAUCACAUCUGUUGCCUUAUAAUUCAAACCUUUUUUUUAAAUGACAUACAUGACUUUAGUUUAUUUUUAUUUUCUGUCAUAGUACUUCCUCAAUGUUUAUAGCAUUUUAUUGUGAAUUUGCAGUCAUUAUUUUGCCUCUCACGUCUAAUCAAAUAACUGGCUUUAUUCAGAAUGUCUGUAUGUGUAUGAUUUUUGUUUUUGCUGCCAGAAAUGCAUCUCUGCUUCUUUGAUCCUACUUAAGCAUAAUUUCUGUCUUGAUUUCUGUCUUAGUUUCAUGUAUUGCUUAGUUUUGAGUCAUGAAUUACCCAAAUGUUAUAAAAUAUGAUUUUUUUCUAUUUUUCCUAUCUGCUGCAGGAUUUGUGGUGAACUACAGAAUAUGCAAUGUAAUAUGAUGUAAACACAAUCAGAUUUCAGAAUGUACAAGACAGUAAAAAAAA